rnacentral:rRNA from 1 species
UGACUGCGUACCUUUUGUAUAAUGGGUCAGCGACUUAUAUUCUGUAGCAAGGUUAACCGAAUAGGGGAGCCGUAGGGAAACCGAGUCUUAACCGGGCGUUAAGUUGCAGGGUAUAGACCCGAAACCCGGUGAUCUAGCCAUGGGCAGGUUGAAGGUUGGGUAACACUAACUGGAGGACCGAACCGACUAAUGUUGAAAAAUUAGCGGAUGACCUGUGGCUGGGGGUGAAAGGCCAAUCAAACCGGGAGAUAGCUGGUUCUCCCCGAAAGCUAUUUAGGUAGCGCCUCGUGAAUU